rnacentral:rRNA from 1 species
UACGAGAGGCCCAAACGUUAUUCGGAAUUACUGGGCUUAAAGAGUUCGUAGGCGGCGCAGAAAGUAGGGUGUGAAAGCCCUCGGCUCAACCGAGGAAUUGCGCUCUAAACUACUGUGCUUGAGGAACCUAGAGGUGAGCAGAACAGAUGGUGGAGCGGUGAAAUGCGUUGAUAUCAUCUGGAAUACCGGAGGCGAAGGCGGCUCACUGGGGGUUUUCUGACGCUGAGGAACGAAAGCCAAGGGUAGCGAACGGG